GCUGUUGUUGGUCUCCUCAGGGAGAUUACGUGCACGCUUGUCUCAUCUUUGUUAUUUCUCCAACUGUGCACCUUUUGUAGACCCUGGAGCUUUAUGAAUUUUCUGAAAAUUCGAGUCAGGACUGCUGUUUCAGCUUUGCCUUGCAUCUCCAGGUUCUAUGUCAUUUUUCACAACCUCUUCAUAUGUUUAGAAUGUUUGGAAAUAUAAAAUUGAAAUAUACAACUUUCAGCAACGGAUCUCUUGGCUCUCGCAUCGAUGAAGAACGCAGCGAAAUGCGAUAAGUAAUGUGAAUUGCAGAAUUCAGUGAAUCAUCGAAUCUUUGAACGCAUCUUGCGCUCCUUGGUAUUUCGAGGAGCAUGCCUGUUUGAGUGUCAUUUAACUUCUCAACCAACAUCAGAUGAUGUUGGCUUGGAUGUGGGGGUUGUUUUUGCAGGCUUUUUCUUGUUAGAAGGUCGGCUCCCCUGAAAUGGAUUAGUGGUAUCUGAGGCUACUACUGUGGGUGUGAUAACUAUCUAUGCCUUUGGUAUGCCGCAUGAACAGAUUACACUGCUUCUAACAAAACAA
rnacentral:rRNA from 1 species